rnacentral:rRNA from 1 species
ACUCCUACGGGAGGCAGCAGUGGGGAAUAUUGCACAAUGGGGGAAACCCUGAUGCAGCCAUGCCGCGUGUGUGAAGAAGGCCUUCGGGUUGUAAAGCACUUUCAGCGAGGAGGAAAGGUUAGUAGUUAAUACCUGCUAGCUGUGACGUUACUCGCAGAAGAAGCACCGGCUAACUCCGUGCCAGCAGCCGCGGUAAUACGGAGGGUGCGAGCGUUAAUCGGAAUUACUGGGCGUAAAGCGUGCGCAGGCGGUUUGUUAAGCGAGAUGUGAAAGCCCCGGGCUCAACCUGGGAACCGCAUUUCGAACUGGCAAACUAGAGUCUUGUAGAGGGGGGUAGAAUUCCAGGUGUAGCGGUGAAAUGCGUAGAGAUCUGGAGGAAUACCAGUGGCGAAGGCGGCCCCCUGGACAAAGACUGACGCUCAGAUGCGAAAGCGUGGGGAGCAAACAGGAUUAGAUACCCUGGUAGCGACUGAU